UUCCAGACUCCUACGGGAGGCAGCAGUGGGGAAUAUUGGGCAAUGGGCGCAAGCCUGACCCAGCAACGCCGCGUGAAGGAAGAAGGCUUUCGGGUUGUAAACUUCUUUUGUCAGGGACGAAGCAAGUGACGGUACCUGACGAAUAAGCCACGGCUAACUACGUGCCAGCAGCCGCGAUAAUACGUAGGUGGCAAGCGUUGUCCGGAUUUACUGGGUGUAAAGGGCGUGCAGCCGGGAGUGCAAGUCAGAUGUGAAAUCCCGCGGCUCAACCGCGGAACUGCAUUUGAAACUGUGCUUCUUGAGUGCUGGAGAGGCAGACGGAAUUCCUAGUGUAGCGGUGAAAUGCGUAGAUAUUAGGAGGAACACCAGUGGCGAAGGCGGUCUGCUGGACAGUAACUGACAGUGAGGCGCGAAAGCGUGGGGAGCAAACAGGAUUAGAUACCCUUGUA
rnacentral:rRNA from 1 species